AUGACGAGCGGCGGACGGGUGAGUAAUGCUUGGGAACAUGCCUUGAGGUGGGGGACAACAGUUGGAAACGACUGCUAAUACCGCAUAAUGUCUACGGACCAAAGGGGGCUUCGGCUCUCGCCUUUAGAUUGGGCCAAGUGGGAUUAGCUAGUUGGUGAGGUAAUGGCUCACCAAGGCGACAAUCCCUAUCUGGUUUGAGAGGAUGAUCACCCACACUGGGACUGAGACACGGCCCACACUCCUACGGGAGGCAGCAGUGGGGAAUAUUGCACAAUGGGCGCAAGCCUGAUGCACCCAUGCCGCGUGUGUGAAGAAGGCCUUCGGGUUGUAAAGCACUUU
rnacentral:rRNA from 1 species